UCCCUGGUGACUCAGACAGUAAAGAAUCUGCCUGCAAUGCAGGAGACCCAGGUUCGAUCCCUGGGUUGGGAA
rnacentral:tRNA from 1 species